CUUAAAGGGAAAUCAAAUACAAGAUAUGGAAAGAUCCAUAUUAUUUCACAAAUUCAGCCCAGCUUAUUACCAAAACCUACAAAGCCGUAGAUAUCAAGCAGAGGUACAGCAUUCUGGCAACUGACUUGGUCAUUUUAGUGAAUGGUACAUCUACAGAUCAUCUUAAUCAAAAUUUGAAAUUUCAUCUCCACAGUCUCUUUUUUACAUUGGCAUGAAAAUAUGGAUUGAAUGGGGCACAGAUAUUAACUGAAAGGAAUAUUUCAGAUAACCUCUUUCAAGUGCCGUUUUAGCAAGAUGAGUGUCACGCUUUCCAAGCCUGUUUCUAGUGGAAUGUGAAUAUUUGUCCUCAGAGAUAUUUACUUUAACCAGUUUAGUGGACAGCAGAUCACAGUGCCUACCCACAUCAGCCCUGUCACCCUAAAGGCAAUGGAAGGUGAAAGUGGGGUUGAUCCUAUCAUUCCAUUAUUUCACUGUUGAACAGGUGAAAUGGAGUCCAUUUUCAAACUCUGUUUUGUUCUGACUAGCUCCCACAUCAAAUUUGGUCCCAUUCUAUUUUUGGAGAGAUAUCCUGAUGACACACAGACAUAGCUCUUAUCCCUUCUCUACCUUAUCCUUUUUUAAGUUUGGUGACAUCUCUGGUUGAGCCUGCCAAGUAAAAACAGAUUGGGACUACAAGAAAAGAUCUUCCAGAUCCCAUAGCAUGUGAUAAAUUUAAAAUUUUACAACCAUACUUGCUGUAUAUAUAACAAUCUAAUCCAGUAAUACAAUAUAAUGUGAAAUUAAUUUUUGUUGGUUCCUCCUGUCUAAGAAGUGGAAAACAAUGGGGAGAAUUUAGAAAAAAAUAUAGUGCUGCUUUUUAAAAAAUCUUUCAA